UCUCUGGUAGCUCAGUCGGUAAAAGAAUCUGCCUGCAGUGCAGGAGACCUGGGUUCAAUACCUGGGUCAGAGAG
rnacentral:tRNA from 1 species